ACAGUGAACUGCCGGGAAAGAUCAUUCACACAUUCGGUCUAACAACACGGUUUCCACCCAGUUGUCAUUACCCAUACCAGCCGCCUUUGGUGGUUUUGGGCUGUGUUUGAGCUGGUUGUAUGGAGCUGUAUGUUUUGACUGAGCCUCUCUAACCUUACCCAUCCAACCUUUGAAUCUGGCGUUUUUUUUCUCUACCUCCCACCCUUCUUAUCUAGUAAUAUUCGGGCCACAAAUGAGAGGUGCAUCUGGUAAGAAGAGAAUGGAUGUGCUUGUGCUCGCUAUUUAUCAGUUUAGCUGCCUGUCGAUAUCAAGCAGGGCUCAGGUUCACCAAAUUUUUUAGACCUGAAAUCAGUCGAGAUACCACAA
rnacentral:misc_RNA from 1 species